rnacentral:rRNA from 1 species
AUUGAACGCUGGCGGCAGGCCUAACACAUGCAAGUCGAGCGGAUGAAGGGAGCUUGCUCCUGGAUUCAGCGGCGGACGGGUGAGUAAUGCCUAGGAAUCUGCCUGGUAGUGGGGGAUAACGUCCGGAAACGGGCGCUAAUACCGCAUACGUCCUGAGGGAGAAAGUGGGGGAUCUUCGGACCUCACGCUAUCAGAUGAGCCUAGGUCGGAUUAGCUAGUUGGUGGGGUAAGGCCUACCAAGGCGACGAUCCGUAACUGGGCUGAGAGGAUGAUCAGUCACACUGGAACUGAGACACGGUCCAGACUACUGCGAGAGGCAGCAGUGGGGAAUAGUGGACAGUGGGCGAAAGCCUGAUCCAGCCAUGCCGCGUGUGUGAAGGAGGUCUUCGGAUUGUAAAGCACUUUAAGUUGGGAGGAAGGGCAGUAAGUUAAUACCUUGCUGUUUUGACGUUACCAACAGAAUAAGCACCGGCUAACUUCGUG